AACAAUUUUAAGUCAUCCAUUUCUUUAUACCCGGGACACCCGAUCAACCAAAGGAAACUUGAAGGUCACAAACAUGCGAGAUUGCAAACCCACGUUGCCUCGAUCGCCUGAUGUCAUGUCGUGUCACUGUGCAGUGAGAUUGUACAUGAGCAAACAGCCCUACAGUACUUAAUUUACCCAGGAGUAGUCUACUUGUAGUUGAAGGUAGACCGAAGGCCAGACUUAGGCAGGAUGAUUGAACAAAUCUGCUUGCAGAUGGACUACUGAGGCAAAAAAAUUGGACUCUCAGGAGGUGAACAGAUGUUCAGCAAGAAAUUUGCACAUCAAAUUCUGUGAAUUACACUGAUAUCCCCCCCCCAAAAAAAAAAGAACAGAGAGACCAAUCAUUAACAGGUUGAGACUUGGUGCACAUAACCUUGCCACAGAAAAGGGGAUUUACCUAUAAACACUCCCUAAUGAAAGAUUUUGUAAAUUAUUUGUUACACAGGAGAGAUUUAAGAUGUAUUUCGUUUUUAUUUAGCUACAAAAAAAUACAAUAAUUAUAAUUUAACUUUUAAGAGGAUAUUGAUGUAUUUUUUUCUUGAAAGGAAAAGUAUCAAAUUUGUCUCAUACAUCUUUGAUAGAUUAGUCAUUGAAU